rnacentral:lncRNA from 1 species
UGUGCUUAGCCUUGUAUUCCUAGAUAAUAUCAUUUCCACGAAUUCAUGCUCAGUUACCUCAUGUUCCUCAGUCAGUCCUUACCUCAGAUGCACAGUACUCUAUAGUUUUAGUCUAGUUAUUCAGGUUAAGUAUAGUUCAAUCUUACAUGACCAGUAUCCAGCUAUCAGUCAUCCAGUUAAUCAAAUAAGUUAGUAUGUUUACACAUUCAUGCUCAGUGCCCC